rnacentral:ribozyme from 1 species
AUUACUGCACUGGUUAGUGAACAGAUUCGAAGCCUGUCACAGGAUAAUAUAGACUCUCCAUACCCUAUACUUAUUCUAUCCGUCUUCGGCAUGGAGAACGUAAACAUGUCUCUCCAAUUAUCUGAACUGAGGAAUACGAAGAAACCUAAUUCCUUGGGAUGAGUACUGAUAAAGAGAAGGAU